GGGCGUGUGGUGUAGGGGUAUCACGUCUGCUUCGCAUGCAGAAGGCCCCGGAUUCAAUUCCCGGCACGUCCA
rnacentral:tRNA from 1 species